AACGAACGCUGGCGGCAGGCUUAACACAUGCAAGUCGAACGCCCCGCAAGGGGAGUGGCAGACGGGUGAGUAACGCGUGGGAAUCUACCCAGUUCUACGGAACAACUGAGGGAAACUUCAGCUAAUACCGUAUACGCCCUACGGGGGAAAGAUUUAUCGGAAUUGGAUGAGCCCGCGUUGGAUUAGCUAGUUGGUGAGGUAACGGCUCACCAAGGCGACGAUCCAUAGCUGGUCUGAGAGGAUGAUCAGCCACACUGGGACUGAGACACGGCCCAGACUCCUACGGGAGGCAGCAGUGGGGAAUAUUGGACAAUGGGCGCAAGCCUGAUCCAGCCAUGCCGCGUGAGUGAUGAAGGCCUUAGGGUUGUAAAGCUCUUUCAGUGGGGACGAUAAUGACGGUACCCACAGAGGAAGCCCCGGCUAACUUCGUGCCAGCCGCCGCGGUAACAC
rnacentral:rRNA from 1 species